UUAUGGUUUUACGUAUGAAAUUAAUUAAAUACCAAAAGUUUCGUAUGCAAGACAUCUGAAAUAUAAAAAUGAAUCCUAUAAUAUCACAAAGAGUUCUUUAAAAAAAACAUAUGAUCUAUCAUAUUAUUAUAAUAAUGGCCAUCCAUGGCAAACAUCAAUCGUCGUCAUUUGUAGGAGACGAUUAACCAUUCUAAUAUUUUAUUGAACAGUCGUCAAACAACAGCCUUCAGUACAUGACAAAUGCUCUUAUUUUCAUAAAAAAUUUCAAUGAUUUCAUUCUGAAGCGCAAAGAAGACGAAUGAAGAAAUAAGAGCUAGCUGUUUAUUCGGUGGCUGAUGUGCACGUUUGAACUUUAAUAUGGCACAGCUUGAUUUCGUCGAAAAGCGUCGAAGGAUACUUACAAUCACGAUGAAGAUCGAUAUGAAGAAAAUUUGCAGUUUCUUCGGCGGCGGUGCACUACUACGUAUAGUCUGAAGAUUGACACAACUCACGGGAACAGUCGACGCUUAAAUCUUGCCAUAAUAUCGGAACAACAAAAAAACUGAAAUAAUUACGCUAUAUCCUUGCAUAAUGUCAACCCGGAGGACGAUUGGCAGUAUCAUUAAGAAGCACAUCUGAAUAACAAAAAUAAAUGUCGCAAGGCUGUGUUUGUUUAAUAAUAUAAUUUUUUGAACAGUAGUACAGUAUAUUAUGAGUAUAUACUUAAAUAAUAUUUAAUUUUUAUGGUUUUUUUUUCAUAUAAUAUACUGUACUACGGUUUUAGGUGUUCUUUUUAUUUUAAUAAUACGUUGAUAAAUUACUAAUUUUUUCAAUUUUUUUUUCUUAUCACAAAGCUAGUUCGUCUUUGUGUAUGUUUAAAUUUAUAUUUUUUUAUAUAGUUAUUGUGCUGUUUAACUUUCUUAUAAAAGAGAGUGAGGAAUUAAAAAGGUGGCCACCGAACAGAAAGUUAAACUUCAAUAUACUAUAAUCUUUUUAGUUCAUGUUUACAUUUUUAACUGAUAAAUUAUGAAUAUAAAAUUUCAAAUUAAUUUGAAUUCAAAAAUAAAAGAACACCAACAUAGAUUUUUUAAACAUUAAAAUUUUACUAUAAAUUUAAAUUACAUUUAAUCAGCACAUUAGUUGAAGUUUUAUAGGAACCAAACAUUUGGCUGGAUCAUGGACUACCCACCGACGGAGAAUUUGUCAUUGAGCUGAUGGGAAAUGUGUCGGCACUCAGCUUCGUUUCAACCUGGAGGAAGAUUGGCAGCAGCAAAAAGAAAUUCAACUGAUAAUCAACUAUCCAAAUGAAGAAGAAUUUGUCACAAAGCUGAUGGGAAAUGUGUCAGCACUCGGCUUCGUUUCAACCCGGAGGAAGAUUGGCAGCAGCAAAAAGAAAUUCAACUGAUAAUCAACUGUCCAAAUGAAGAAGAAUUUGUCACAAAACUGAUGGGAAAUGUGUCGGCACUCGGCUUCGUUUCAACCCGGAGGAAGAUUGGCAGCAUCAAUAAGAAGCUCAUCUUAAUUUAGUUGUCCCCCCUUUACGCAUUAGCGCUCAUCUCUCAUCCACUCAUCCAACACAUUGACUCUCGCCGGCCGGCAACACACAUAUAUUAUACACAUUACCCGUUUUAUAUUAUAUAGUAUUAUUAAUAUCCACAUAAUUUAAGUUAUUGUAUAUUUUUUUUUUAUUAUUUGAAUGCAUUCAUAUGAUCAGUGGUGUAUUUAGGAAUUUUAGGAUAAGGGCAACACAUAUUUUGCCGCCUCCCCCAUUAAAAAAAAAUUGAAAAACUUCUACGCCACGCAAUAGUGGUCAAACUGUUAAUACCAUAGAAUACCAUGUUAUAUAAAUACUAUAGUAUUUUAUACCUCUAUGGCACACAUUUGUUGUGAAAAUUAUUAAUGAUUGACGUCACUGCGCCAGUACUCAUAAAGUACGAAAUAAAAAUUUGUCGCCCCUCUAAAUCUUUAGAGCUCCUACCUAAAUACGCCCCUGCAUAUAAUGCGUUCUCGCUUACGAUGUGGAUUAGGCCUACUGGGGACACCACAAUAAAAAAAACGCGCCUCGUGUAAUACCUCAUAAAGUUAUUAAACAAUCCGGACAAUGUUAUUGUACGUCGUUUAAUAAUAUAAAGGUGGUGUGGAAAAUUACCUAACACUGUUAUUCUUAUCUUAUAGUUAUACCUUGCAUACAUUUUUUUAUUAAAUACCAAUUAAAUAAUUAUUUAUAUCAAGAAACGAUAAAUAUUAACGUUUUAUAAAGUAUUACAAUAAAAUAGUUUUGAAAAAAAAAUAGGCUUUGAUUUGUUACAAAAAGACUCCAAGUAGGUAGUUAUUAUAUUAGUUUUUAUUUAACAAAGACACU